rnacentral:rRNA from 1 species
UCCGUAGGUGAACCUGCGGAAGGAUCAUUACCGAGUGAGGGCCCUCUGGGUCCAACCUCCCACCCGUGUUUAUUUUACCUUGUUGCUUCGGCGAGCCUGCCUUUUGGCUGCCGGGGGACGUCUGUCCCCGGGUCCGCGCUCGCCGAAGAGACCUUAGAACUCUGUCUGAAGAUAGUAGUCUGAGAUUAAAUAUAAAUUAUUUAAAACUUUCAACAACGGAUCUCUUGGUUCCGGCAUCGAUGAAGAACGCAGCGAAAUGCGAUACGUAAUGUGAAUUGCAGAAUUCAGUGAAUCAUCGAGUCUUUGAACGCACAUUGCGCCCUCUGGUAUUCCGGAGGGCAUGCCUGUCCGAGCGUCAUUGCUGCCCUCAAGCACGGCUUGUGUGUUGGGCUCCGUCCUCCUUCCGGGGGACGGGCCCGAAAGGCAGCGGCAGCACCGCGUCCGGUCCUCAAGCGUAUGGGGCUUUGUCACCCGCUUUGUAGGACUGGCCGGCGCCUGCCGAUCAACCAAACUUUUUUCCAGGUUGACCUCGGAUCAGGUAGGGAUACCCGCUGAACUUAAGCAUAUCAAUAAGCGGAGGAAAAGAAACGAUCAGGGAUUCCCCU